ensembl:lncRNA
AAAACUAUUUGUGAAAUUUAUGCUACAUCUUGGUCAAAACAACCAGUAGUGUCCUGUGAAAAACAGUAGGAUCUUCCCUUCAUUUUGACUCAUGGAUGAAAAAGAACCUUUAACUAGGAAACAAAUACCUCUUGCCACUUCUCUUCCUUGGCUCCAGUUGUCUCCUGAGAACAGAGCACUGCUCUGAGUCAAAUGCUUCAGUCCUUCCCUCUCCACCCGCACAGAAACAAUGAGCUGAGAUUUUCCUGUGGCUCUUGGAUCAAAAUCUACUUAUUCUAGGCCUGGAUCUGUCAGCAUGUCAAUCGUGCGCAGCUGCUAAUGAAGACUUCUCCUGUAGGAUUCUAUGCAUUUUGAAGUGUAAAUAAUUCACACACACAUCUUGCUACUUUAUAAAGCAUUUUGAGAAGGGAAAGUGAUCUUAAUUCUCUGACCACUGGUGUCUUCAGGGUGCAAUAUUUGCUUCAUUCUUUUGCUUUAGGGUUGCUGGAAGAUCAAUAAAAGCCCAUCAAGAAAGAAUACAUUUAGAUGUACUGCUGUUCCAGCUUCUCACCCUCCUGCAGCAGAAUGCAGAGCAGAAGCAAAGCAAUGGGCAGUGACAGACAGCAGCUCUCUGAGGAUCACAGUGCAUGGCGCAGUCUCACUAAAGAAGCCUAUUUUUACACCUGCACAUCCUACCUGUUCCAGAGCACACCUCAGAGCACCUGGCGCCAGUCUGCACCGCCUGAUGUGAGCUGCAGGACACAGAUCAUGGCAAGAGGAGAAGGACUCCAGGUGAGAGCAGCAACAGGCUGCUGUUGGGAAAUGGGGAUUACAGAUUAUCUUCUACAUAGUGACCAGACAAUCCUGACUGGUCUGCAAUCAGACUGAACACUCAAGCAGGCAUUUUGCCUUCAAUGGCUGGAGUAGUGCCUCACCACUUGUUCCUUUCUCUUUCUCUGGGAAAGGUCUUAAAUCAGAGAGACUGAGGAAAAGUAGCUCUCCUUAACUGCGGGGCUGAGGCCUUCUGGCUGCACUGAACACAGAAACGUUUCAUAUAUUUCAGUACCUGGCAGUAGAUCCCCAGAACCUUGUUACUGGAAUGUUCCUCAGACAGAUGCCAUUCCUGCUUUCAAUGUGGUGAGUGAUCCUGUUCCCUAAAAAAACACUUCAAAGCAGUUAGUGAUAACAUAAGAAACAGUGCUAGCAAGGUGUGGGCUGACUUUCUGGAGAAGCUUUCAGCAAUGAUAAUGUGAAUUCAAAUGACUGAACAAAAGCAAAAGACUAUUCUAAAGGGAAAAAAAAAGCAGGUAAUAAAAUAAUUUACCACCUCAAGGAACUUGUCUUGCAUUGAGAUGUAAAGCUCUUCUAAUCAGAGCUACAGAUGCUGGGCAGCUUCAAUAUCUGAGUGUUAAACACCCAAGGAAGUACCCAAAUCAAGCCCAAGGUGUUCCAACAAAAG